CGGUAACAGCUCAAAUUUGAAAUCUGGCCUCACGGUCCGAGUUGUAAUUUGUAGAGGAUGCUUCGAGCAUGGUCUGGCCUAAGUUCCUUGGAACAGGACGUCAUAGAGGGUGAGAGCCCCGU
rnacentral:rRNA from 1 species